UGGGCGCUACACUUGCGCAUGCGCAGCCUGUGAAGGUCCGGCUGUUGGCCCUGAGGGGCGAUCCCUGAGUCCCAGGGAGAUGGGUUAGAGCUUAAACGCCCGGAGUUUUACGGCUCUGUCGGUAAAAUCAUACAAAUAUGAGUAUGUGCUUAUGACAGAUGAAAGAGGGAUAGUCACCAGUAUGCUAAUGAUCAUCAUCUCUGGAAUGUGGGAUUUCAGUCCUCAUUCGGUGCCUCCAAAGCAAGAUGUUCACCUAUAUCUCAGGCAAGAUGGAACUCUGCCUUAAUAAAUUAAUGAUUACUCAAGAAUAGAGGACAUGUUUUACCUUUCAAAAAAAAAUCUUCUAGUGAAUGAAAUGUAAUCUAUACCAAUUUUAGCCAAAUCACCAGGAUUUUCAGCAGUUCUAUACUUCAGUGGCCCUUAGAUAACGGCCAAUAGAUAUGUUAUGCAAGAGACUCAUCUUGUUGAUGAUCUCAUCACUGUGUCUGUGACUUUCAAACCAGAGAUUCUGCUGUGGGACUUCUCUCUCGACAAGAUGCUGUUUCAAAAUUGAUUAGUUCUCCAACCCGCCCACUGAAAUCAUCCAACCUAUUGAAGAAGCAGAAUGGGAUGUGGAUUAUAGGGUUUCAGAUAACACCAAGUCCCUUGU